GCUAGCCAGGUGCUAGGCGGACUAGUUUUCAGAGCGAAUGAAUGUCAGCUGACCUACUAGUAAGCUAUAGUUUCUGAUUGUAGAGGCGCUGCUUUCCAUCAGCCAGAGUUGCUGCACUGUCCACUGGCUACCGAUUCAGCUGGAGUAAAAAUACACAACAAACUCGAUUCUUACUCUUCUAUGUUGCUUCUUCUAUGCUAGGCCAACAAGAGAAUGUCCAUCAGGCAAGUCCGGCCUAAGAGGGGCUUUAGGUGGAUGAAUAUACUAAUCUGAGGUAUUUUCCGAGAUGGUAUUUUACAAAGUUGUUCCUUUUGUUGCAAUAACAACAAAAAUCAUUACUUGAAGUCUUGGCAUACGCACAAAAAUGUCAUGAGUGUUGUGGGUACCACCGUGCCUACGAACAAUUGAGGGAUGAAAAUUGAACAAAGGUGGAGCCCAAAAAGAAGAGAGGUGAUUUUUAUCGCUCUUACUAAUCGGGAUCCUCGAGGGCUUGAAGAGCUCUCAAAACGCACGUUAAGCUUCUACGGUCAUUCAAUUGACCCUAAAUCCUGGGUUGGGACACCUGCUUUUGAAAAGCUUCUCCCAAUACGAGAGCUCUCUCAUACCUUCAAUGUUCCGAGUGAAGCAUCUUUGGACCUGUUUGACAUAUUUGCAAACCUGGUGCACCACUUGGAGCCCCAAAUGGGUGAGGUAUAUUCAAAAUAUGGCUGAAGAAUCGACUUACAGAAAUUAGCAUCGAGAUAACACCUCUGGAUUUACACGUCCGAUAAAUCCAACCACACGUUUGAAAAGCUUUGCAAACUUUCAACCGCAAUGCUUAUCAAAUUAUCCAUGAUUUUGAAAGACUACGCCUAAAUCCUUCAUGGACGAGACGUGCUGAAUUUCUACCUUCGACAUCUACUAGCAGAGAGUUCAAUGGCGUCGACCUAAAGGUUAUUCAGCGCAAUCUCAUUCCGAUCAAGACUAUAUUACUCUCAGCAACCCAAGAGUAGAUUUGGUCCAGGACUAAACAUAUCUCUAUGUUAAUAAGGGAUCCCUCAACCAUAACCCAUUGCUUCCAACCACGAAUGAAACUUCUCAACCAAUCAAGAACCUUGUCUUGGAUCCCAAUCUCAUGGAGCCUGUUAUCUAAAAGACCAUGAUCUAUUUUGUCAAAGGGCUUUUUGGCUAAAUUAAGAUAGACAACAUCAACUGACUCAUGAGUAAGGUUCUCAAAAUUAUGAAGAAGAAAGUACCUCAAGAUGCAAAUAAAGAUGCAAAAAAACAAGCCCAGGAUGCAAGUAAGGAUGUAAAUAAACUUCAAAGAUGCUUUACAUUGUUAUGGCAUAC